rnacentral:rRNA from 1 species
GAUGAACGCUGGCGGCGUGCCUAAUACAUGCAAGUCGAGCGAACGGACGAGAAGCUUGCUUCUCUGAUGUUAGCGGCGGACGGGUGAGUAACACGUGGAUAACCUACCUAUAAGACUGGGAUAACUUCGGGAAACCGGAGCUAAUACCGGAUAAUAUUUUGAACCGCAUGGUUCAAAAGUGAAAGACGGUCUUGCUGUCACUUAUAGAUGGAUCCGCGCUGCAUUAGCUAGUUGGUAAGGUAACGGCUUACCAAGGCAACGAUGCAUAGCCGACCUGAGGGGGGGAUCGGCCACACGGAACUGAGACACGGUCCAGACUCCUACGGGAGGCAGCAGUAGGGAAUCUUCCGCAAUGGGCGAAAGCCUGACGGAGCAACGCCGCGUGAGUGAUGAAGGUCUUCGGAUCGUAAAACUCUGUUAUUAGGGAAGAACAUAUGUGUAAGUAACUGUGCACAUCUUGACGGUACCUAAUCAGAAAGCCACGGCUAACUACGUG